UUUUUUUUUUUAAUCUUGGUUUAUAUUUGUGAUUUCCCUGUCUGGGUUGACUUCUGGUUGCUCUGUCCUGUGUUCUAGCCUUGGGUUGAUAUCCGAUAUUAUUGGUUUUCUCACCAGAGAACUCCCUUUAGUAUUUCUUGUAGUUUUGGUUUGGUUUUUAUGAAUUCCCUAAACUUCUGUUUAUCUGGAAAUGUCCUAAUUUCGCCUUCAUAUUUGAGAGACAGUUUUGCUGGAUAUAUGAUUCUUGGCUGGCAUUUUUUUUUCCUUCAGUGCUUUAUGUAAGUCAUCUCAUUGCCUUCUUGCCUGCAUGGUUUCUGCUGAGUAGUCCGAGCUUAUUCUUUCUGACCCUCCUUUGUAGGUGACUUUUAGUUUAUCUCUAGCCGCUCUUUAAAUUCUCUCUUUAUCCUUGGUUUUGGCAAGUUUGAUUAUAAUAUGUUUUUUGGUGACUGUCUUUUGAGAUCUACCUUAUGUGGACUUCGAUGAGCAUCGUGGAUAGAUGCCAACAAAUCUUCAACAAUUCUCUCAGUAUUUUCUGCAUUUAUGUUCAUGAGAGAUAUUGCUCUGUAAUUUUUGUGUGUGUGUGUGAUGUCUUUACCUGGUUUUGGAGUCAGGGGUAUGCUGGCUUCAUAGAAUGAGUUUGGGAGUAUUUCAUCAUUUUCUGAAAUACCUUUAGUAGUAGUGGUGUUAACUCUUCUCUAAAACUUUGGUAGAAUUUUCCAGUGAAGCUGUCAAGGCCAGGGCUUUUUUUUGUUGUUGUUGGGAGUUUUUUUUUUUAGUUGCCUUUUCAAUCUCUUCUUUUGUUAUGUUUUUGUUAGUUGUUCUACCUCUGUUUGUGUUAGUCUAGGUAGGUAGUGUGUUUCUAGGAAUUCAUUUCUUCUAGGUUUUCACAUUUGUUAGAGUACAGUUUUUCAUAGCAAUCUGAUAUGAUUCUUUUAAUUUCAGUUGGGUCUGUUGUAAUAUCACCCAUGUCAUUUCUUCUUUGGGAUAUUUGCUUCCUCUCCUGUUUUUCUUUUGUCAGUUUGACCAAUGGUUUAUCAAUUUUGUUAUUUUUUUCAGAGAACCAGCUUUUGGUCUUGUUAAUUCUUUCAAUUGUUUUUCUGUUUUCUAUUUCAUUUAGUUCAGCUCUAAUUUUUAUUAUUUGUUUUCUUCUGGUGCCUGAUGGAGUCUUUUGUCGCUCACUUUCUAUUUGUUCAAGUUGUAGGGACAGUUCUCUGCUUUUGGCUCUUUCUUCUUUUUGUAUGUGUGCAUUUAUCGAUAUAAAUUGGCCUCUGAGCGCCGCUUUUGCUGUGUCCCAGAGGUUUUGAUAGGAAGUGUUUUCAUUCUCAUUGCAUUCUCUGAAUUUCUUUAUUCCAUCCUUAACGUCUUCUAUAAUCCGGACUUUUUUGAGCAGGGUAUUGUUCAGUUUCCAAGUGUUUGAUUUCUUUUCCCUGCUUUUCCUGUUAUUGAUUUCCACUUAUGGUGGCGUAGUGGUUAAGUGCUACGGCUGCUAACCGAGAGGUCAGCAGUUCAGAUCCACCAGGUGCUCCUUGGAAACCCUAUGGGGCAGUUCUAGUGUGUCCUAUAGGGUCACUAUGAGUCGGAAUCGACUCGACGGCAGUGGGUUUUUUUGGUGUUUUAUGGCCUUAUGGUCAGAGAAGACGCUUUGUAAUAUUUCAAUGUUUUGGAUUCUGCUAAGGCUCGCUUUAUGACCUAAUAUGUGGUCUAUUCUCGACAAUGUUCCAUGUGCACUAGAAAAGAAAGUAUACUUGGUUGCUGUUGGGUGGAGUGUUCUGUAUAUGUCUACCAGGUCAAGUUGGUUGAUUGUGGCAUUUAGAUCUUCCGUGUUUCUAUUGAGCGUCUUUCCGGAUGUCCUGUUCUUCGCCGAAAGUGGUGUGUUGAAGUCUCCUACUAUUAUUGUGGAGCUGUCUAUCUCACUUUUCAAUGCUGAUAGGGUUUAUGUAUCUUGCAGCCCUGUCAUUGAGUGCAUAAAUAUUUAAUAUGGUUAUAUCUUCUUGGUGUAGUGCCCCUUUAAUCAUUAUAUAGUGUCCUUCCUUAUCCUUUCUGAUGGAUUUAACUUUAAAGUCUAUUUUGUCAGAAAUUAAUAUUGCCACUCCUGCGCUUUUUUGAUUGUUGUUUGCUUGAUAUAUUUUUUUCCAUCCUUUGAGUUUUAGUUUGUUUCUGUCCCUGAGUCUAAGUUGUGACUCUUGUAGGCAGCAUAUAGACGGAUCAUGUUUUUUAAUCGAGCCUGAGACUCUCUGUGUCUUUGGAAGCCCUGGUGGCGUAGUGGUUAAGUGCUGCAGCUGCUAACCAAGAGGUCGGCAGUUCAAAUCCACCAGGCGCUCCUUGGACAGUCUGUGGGGCAGUUCUGCUCUGUCCUGUAGGGUCACUAUGAGUCGGAAUCGACUCGAUGGCAUAGGGUUUGGUUUUGGUUUGGUGCCUUUAUUGGGCUUCUUUCUGGGUGUCCUGUCUCCUUUACCAAAACAAAGCGGUGUGUUGAAGUCUCCUACUAGUAUUGUGGCGCUCUCUAUCUCACUUUUCAAUACUGUUAGAGUUUGUUUUACUGUUACUCAGCCUGGAAGCCACACAGCAUUACUUUCACUGUACUCCAUUGCUGUAGCAGCCACAAGCCCACCCACAUUCAACGGGAGGAGACAAAGACUGCUCCUCUCAGUGGAGGCUGUCAAGGUCUCCCUGUAGAAGAGUAUGUGGGAUGGAGCUCUUGUUGUGUCUAUCCUUGGGAAAUACACUCUGCCACACUGUGGUUAUUAUUACCAUUUGUACAUGUCUAGAAAUGAUGGUGAAUCCAUUCUCUCGACUCUCUCCAGGUGCUUUGCUUUCUAAAGCUGUGUUGGUAGACCGUGAGCCACACGUGAGUUUUGCAUAUCUUUUUUACCACGUGGUUUACAGUGGUAGUGAUUGGUGCCUUGAAGUCAUGAGCUGUGCAUCUACUACCACCUUCUGACAGUAGAUCGUAAUUGCAGAUUUGGUUUAAACCUCUUUCCUUGGAUCCAACAAAUAAUUGCUCACAAAGCAGGUGAGAACACUGUCACUUGUCCUCAUCUAGAAAAUGGGGAUAACGACAGCAUCUCCUACACAGGGUGGUUUGUAGAUUGAAUGAGUCAAUACCUAUACUCACACCAAACGGGCCAGCACAUGGUGUUACACUCGAAAAUUUGUUAUGAUUCAUGCUAGGACCCAGGGCCGAUGGUUAAAAUUCAUGGGGCAUGCCGGGUUUGAGAGGGAACAUGAAGGACAAAUGGAAUAGACUGAAAACUGAAAUCUCUAGCAAACAAGCUGUCCUCCAGGGCCCGGCACACGGGAGUCACUGGAGGGUGCUGGCUGAAUGAGUGGGUGAAGAAGGCGACAGCAGAAAUGCAGACCAAGCUGGAAACCUGUCACAUCCUGCUCACAGACAGCCCCUUCCCCACAUGAAGGGGAGAGGAAGAGGAGGCAUCUUUGAUCAGACACAGGAGUCACUGUCACCAUGUGGAGAACUUCUUCCAGCUGAGGAGACUCCUCAGGGCCCCCUUCACGUCCUUAUUCCUUAGGCUGUGAAUGAAGGGGUGGAGCGUGGGUGCCACCAACUCAUCAGAGCAAAGAGGAAGAACUGGCAGAGGAGACUGAGGAUCAACAUGUGGUGAGGAGGGGGAGAAACGGAGAGUGUGCAGUGGCAUUCUGGAGCAAGGCUGAGGUCCCCAGGUGUCAGGAGGUGGAGUGAUCAGUUGUCACGUGAUGCUGAAGGGUCAUGUACGAGGAGGUCUGGGAACCCACCCUGGGUUUAGUAAUGAGACGGCGGUGGUUUGAGGGGAGGUGAGGGUGCUAGGAGGGACUGGGAAGUGAGGAAUUGGGGACAGAGAGCCCAGACAACCCUUGCGAGGGGUGGCACUCUGGCUGUGAAGAAGAGGAGGAGAAAGUGCUCUAGGUGGAGGGGGACCUGGGGUCCAGGAGAGGCUGGUGGGUUGUGAAGAAGUGAGAGGUUGGAGCCGUUCAGGUGCUCACAGGGGCUGUCGGGUACAAGGGAGCACUGACUUGUGUGGGAGAGAAGAGUUUACCUGGCGGGGAGGGGGCUGUGCACACGGGAACCUGCCUCUCCCCCAAGCCUCACUCCAGGGGACCCUUCCUUCCCCCACCCCAGAUUCUGAGUGCCAUGGACUGAGAUGCCUCUUGUCGAAAGCAGAAGUUGUGCCAGAAGCUGGAACAGACGUCCAACAACAGCUCAGGGUGGUGCAGUUGGGUAAGGAGGGGGCUUCUCUGUCCUGAGCCAUCCGCAGACGAGGGAGGGUGGCUCAUGCCUGGUCCACAGGCUGAGACUCUUAGGAGGUGCGUGGGGGAGGCACUGGACCAGUAGGACCCCAGCACACCUGGGUCCCAUUCACUAGUGCCUUGCUUCGGGCCCUGGGGCGGGGGAGGGGAGGCAGGACCAAGCCCCCCCAUCCCAACAGCAGCAAUAAACUCACCCUCCUGCCCUGGUGCCCAGCUGUGGCAGUAGCCCCUGUCCACCUUCCUAUUUACACCCCAACGACGUAUUUUUUUUUUUUUUUAAUUAACUCCACCUCAGUGUUUCCAUGUGUAAAAGCGUGUCCCUCCUGGGAUGUGGCCAAGUGCACUAACAUUCUGCCCGGUAUUCCCCUCCGCAUAUUCUCAGUGGGAGGCAGAAGGAUCCUGUUAAGAUGUAAGGCGAAUUACAUCCCCGCUCUGUUCAAAACCCUCCAGUACCUUCAAAUGCACCCACACUCCUUAAACGCUGGCAAUGCCUUACUGUCCCAGGUGGCUCUCCUAUCAGGAUGCACCUACCUACCUCUUGCUCCCACACCUCUUCAAGUGGCGCACAGGUAGGGGGGAGCAAGUCAAGCCGGGAGCACUCCGGGACAAGAGAAUGGCAUCUAACAAGCCCUGUGAGAGACCAUGGUCUGAUUAAGGAGCGAGGGUGUCUGGGGCCACUCGGUGCCAGGCAGGCACUGUUCCAGGAGCUACGGAUACGUGGGCAGAGGGGGAGAAGAGCCAUGAUUGCUGCCUGGCUGAGGGAGGACAUUUGAGAAGGACCUGGAGGAGGUCAGGGAGUGAGCCAGACGAGUCCCAGGGGAAGAGAGUUGCAGACAGAAAAAAGCCUGUGCCAAGAUCCUCAGGUGGGAGUGGGCUGGGGUGUUUCAGAAAGGGCGAGUAAGCCAGUGUGGCUGGAUCAUCGUGAGCAAGGGAGAGAUUGGGAGAGACGGCGACCGGAGAGGAAAGGGGCAGGACCACCUUGGGCUCUGUGAGCCACUGUGAGGGCUCUGGCUUUGCCUCUGGAAGAGAUGGGAGCCCUUUGGAGGGUUUGGAACAGAAGCGAUGGGGCCUGGGACCUGACUCAUUUUAAGAUAGUCCAGAAGCUUCAGUAGUCCCUCUGCGGGGCCAAGGCUGCAGGCUGAUUCUGGGCUUUGCAGGGUGAAGGAGGGAGGGAGUGUCAGACUCAAGUCUUGUCCGCAGUGAACUGGCCCCACAUUUUUGGGGCCAGAUUUGGGUAGCCUAUCUGGAAAGGGGGAAACCCUGGUGGCCUAGUGGUUAUGUGCUACCUCUGCUAAACAAAACGCCAGCAGUUCGAAUCCACCUGUCACGUCCUUGGAUAAUCUAUGAGGCAUUCCACCCUGUGCUAUAGCGUCACUAUGAGUCGGAAUCGACUCAAAGGCAACAGGUUUUUUUUUUUUUUUUAAUUUGAAACUGGUGGUCCUAGUGUCCUUCUCCUCUGUCCUUUCGUCCAGCUACCCCCUUGUGGUCCCCCACCCCACCGUGCCUUUGGGUUCUUAUCCGCAAAGGCCUCAUCCGUCUCCUUUUGUACGGUACUAUGGCUUGAUGGCUUAUCAGCAAGGAGCCAGAACUUUACGAAGGAUACAUGCCUGUUUCUUCUGUGAAGGGUAAGAGAGCCAUGUCCUCAGGCCAGGUUAGUAGGAUAAAGAAAUAAUCCUGUUGUCCUUCAUUUCAAAUAGAGGAGACUUUUCUAUCGCAAGUUACAUACCAAAGAGAAACUAAAACUCCCAAUAGGCUAAAGCCUGAGGGGAGGCUAUGGGUCUGUGCAAUUGAAAGGACUGGAGGAAGUUGCUGGCUUCAGGCACGGCAAGAUCCAGGAUUGCUCACACGCUACUCCCUGGGCUGGGCCAGGAUGGCAGCAAUCCGAGGUGGGCACAGCCCAGGGAAAGGAUCCUGGGCACGGCUGCCGCCUCCAAGCUUAAGGCUGACGCACUUGACACAUCUGAAGUCUUCCACGUAGCAGCUUUGACCCACGUCUGUGUCACGUGGAAGCCCAGGCAGCUGAGAAAGGAUUCCCCCACACCCUGAGUGACAUAGGUGGAGGGGUGGGCGCAGGGCCACGGGGACAUUCUUACUGUGUGGCUACAAAGCCACCGCAAACAUAGCAGUAAAAUCGUGUCAUUUCCAAAGCAGCUCCUGUUUCUACCUCAGCUUUCCUGGGAGUGGGGGCGGUGCAGGAGGUAAGGGGAGGAGAUCUUCCCUCAGCUCCAGAUGAUUCAUUCAGUCUAAACAGACCUAUAGCAAUAAGGAGAUUGCUUAGAGUUUAGAGAUGGCUGGCUGCUCUCGAACGUUCAGGUUGGAGAGAGACUACAUUUCUGAGCCUCCCGUGCAGUUAGGUGUUGGUAUGAGAGUUCUCGCUAAUGAAUUGUGAGUGGGAGUAAUGUGUGCUCCUUCUAAGCCAGGCCCACAAAUAUUUAGCAUGUGCCCUCCUCCAUGUUCUUUUCUGCUUCCGCAACUGGAGUGGGGAUGGCUGCAGGCGUCCCUGCAGUGCUGACAAAGCAAAAGCUAUUUCACCACUUACCUGAAUAGGGUUGUGAUGAGGAUUGAAUAUGGACAUGAAUACUUAGCAUAAUUCCUGGCCAAUAUGGUUAGUUUCCGUAAUUAUUAUUACAGUCUUUGAGUGCUCCAGUAAUCGUCUGCGGUGGGAGAGAAGUGAAGAUCCCUACCUCAUUCAGCAGACAGUACAAUUAGGACUGGGCUUCUGUCGGCAAAGUCUCAUACUUGCUGAUGCUGGCAGUCUUUUCUCUUUCUGCACCGUCCCUAUGUUGAUGAAACAAGUCUCAGCCACCUUACAGAAAAUUGAACGAACCAUAAUUUGAGAUAUGCUGAUGUAACAAAAUGCAGUUUAAACCAAAAACAAUAUGAAAAGCUUGGUUAUAAUAGUUAUGAAAAUUCUAAAGUGAACUAGAACAUCUUGCAUUUACACAACACCGUUCUGUAAAACAGCUCUGUGACACAGUCUGACUCUAGUUUUGAUGUGUGACAAUUGACAACUUGUAAGCUCACCCUUGUAAGCUCUUCCCCUUCUGUCCACCCCUAGAAAAGCUGAUAAGAAAGCCUGAGCGCCCCUCCUUGAGUGGGAAGUUCAAACCCUGCAAGCCCCUGCUUGUGUGUGGGAACACUCACUCCAGCCUCACCCCUUAACCACAACAAAAAUCCUAGGUCGGUCUCAUUUCCCUGACCUCUCAAGCCACUUUGGACCUGCUUGGAAGCCAGCCCUGCUCUCCCCUGAAAGUCUCAUUAUAGUUAUAGGGAGAAACACCCAUCGUACCCUCUGGCACAGCCAAGGGAUUGAUUCAACCAUUGACCGAGAAACCACGGGAGCCUAGCAUAGAUGUGAAGCAACCAACUACAGGCCAAAAACAACAACCAACCCCAAGCCCCAAAGGGAGGAGAAAGAAGACCUUCUGUCAACCCAGGUCCAGAAACAUCGAAAAGGCGAAGAAGAUAACCAUGAGGGUAAAAUUAGCCCUUCAACAGAGUUCGAGAAAGCCUAAGAAAGGAGAAAGGUCAAAAAUAUUAGUCUUACCACAGGAAGAAUAAGAAAAUGAACAAAAAUAAGGCAGACCAGGAACAAGAGAGCCUGAAGACCAGCACCACUCCAAGUAAUGCCCUGUGCGUAGCAAAGCUCAGAGACCUAGAACUAUCUUCUGUGUCUCCAAAGGAGACUCUGGAGAAAUGGUUAACCACGUAGAAACCAAAUCUUACACCAACAGGGUGCAAGGAUGCUGGAAAUUACAUAAGUAAAAUAAAAUCAACAAGUUAUGAGAACUAGAUGCGUGUGUGUGUGUGUGUGUGUGUGUGUGUGUGUGUGUGUCUGCGAGUUCUCUGAUGGUGGGGAGGGAGGGAAGGAAGGGAAGAGGCCAGCACGUGAGAAGGGAGAGGAGUGGCAUCCUGCAGGGUUGGGGGCCAGACUGGCAGCUCCACAGUGAGCCGGACACUGGGGAUAAGGACUGGGUCAGGACUGAGCACUGAAGAAAAAUUUCUCUCCUUGACACUUUAACCCACAAACCAGGGAAAAAGGGAGAGGUUGCUGUGUCUGCCUAUGUGUGCAGGAGAAGGGAGUGGGGGAAAGGCAACACCAAGGUGUAGAUUGCAGAGCCCACGUGGGGAGAGGUAUGAUAUGUGUCGGGUGGCAGUGUGUAAUAAAGAGCCUGGCUCCAUUUUUUGAUGUUUGACUGCUGACAGCUUUUAAGCUUCACUUUCCUUCUUCCUCUUCUGCCCCACAUCUGAGCAAGCUGAUAAGAAAUCCUGGGUGCUCCCUCGUUUGGUGCCAACAGGAGGCUCAAACCACACAAACCCCUGCCCAAGUGUGGGGACCCUUGUCCCAGCCCCACUUCUUAACUACAAUAAAACCCCAAGCCAGUCUCCUUUCCCUACUCUCUCAAGCCAUAUUCAGACCUGCUUGGAAGCCACCUUGCUCUCUGCAGAAAAUCUCUCAUUAUGUGAGUAAUAAACCUUUCAUACCCUCUUGGCGUGAUUGUGGCAUCAUCAGUCUUAACAUAGGAACCAAAUUUACUCAACUCCAUGCCAAUAAACUUGGGAAUCUGGAGAAAAUCUUUGCUUUUCUGUGAAAUAUACAUGACCAA